CAAGGAUUCAUUAAUCCCUCCAGGAAUGUCUCGGAAUGGCUGUCCAGCCAGGGGAGCCCCAGUCCCCCAGUAUCUAGGUAGGAUCGCCGACUACUUCUCAGCAAUGUCAUUGUGAGGCUGUGGGUAAGAGACAGAUGUGUCUUCUCUACCCUCUCUGUUCUCCCUCAUUCUUCUCCCUCUCUCUUCUGCAACUUCCAGGAGGCUACCAAAGCCCAAGAUGACCUUGGAAGCUGCAGGCUGAAGAUGGCAGGGCUGGAGUCCCGGAGCUACUGUGUGGAGUAGAGUCCCCGCCUCCUGCUGACCAGGAAUAUAGGUGUUGGUUGUUAUAUUCCAUCAUGGGAAGGAGGAGGGGAAGACCCUGGAAGAUGGAGCAGAAGCCAGCAAGAAGCUAAGGUCUCACCUGGCAACCACCGAGGAGCCUCAACUGGCACAGUCAAGGUUUCUGCUAUCACAGGCCUGGGACUCGAGAGCAAGAGGGAAGCAGUUAUAGACAGCACAGCAAG